GGGGCCACGUCCACACUGACAGGACCCCCGUCCGUCCUCCUCAGGACCUGCUGUGAAGUCUUCGGGACAUGUGGGGCUGCAUCCAUGCUGACAGAAGCCCCUGGCCUCAUCAAGACCCAAGCUGAGGCCUCAGGAGGAUGUCAGGCCCCAUCCAUGCUGACUGGAGCCCUGGGCUGACCCACGGACCUGCUGUGAGGCUUUGGGAGAUGUGAGGCGGUGUCCACAGUGACUGUAGCCCCAGUUGUCCUCAGAACCCAUUGUUUAUGGUUCAGGAAGACAUGGGGCCCCAUACACACUGACAGGAGCCUGGUGUCCUCAGGACUGGCUGUGGACCUGCUGGAGGAUUCUAGAGCCAUUGGUCGGAUACACAGCGACUUCGGCAGGGACUACUCAAAAACACAGGUAAGUGAACAGUUAGAAUUAAUGGUAGGGUUAUGCUUAGGGUUAGGGUUAGGGGUUAGCAGUUUGGGUUAGGGUUAGGGGUUAGGGGUUAUUGUUAGG
rnacentral:lncRNA from 12 species